rnacentral:rRNA from 1 species
UACGUAGGGAGCAAGCGUUGUUCGGAGUUACUGGGCGUAAAGGGUGUGUAGGCGGUUCUUUAAGUUUGGUGUGAAAUCUCCCGGCUCAACUGGGAGGGUGCGGCGAAUACUGAGGGACUAGAGUACGGGAGAGGAAAGUGGAAUUCCUGGUGUAGCGGUGAAAUGCGUAGAUAUCAGGAGGAACACCGGUGGUGUAGACGGCUUUCUGGACCGUAACUGACGCUGAGACACGAAAGCGUGGGUAGCAAACAGG